UACGAAGGGGGCUAGCGUUGCUCGGAAUCACUGGGCGUAAAGCGCACGUAGGCGGCCCUGCAAGUCGGGUGUGAAAUCCCACGGCUCAACCGUGGAAGUGCACUCGAAACUGCAGGGCUAGAGUCCUGGAGAGGAAGGUGGAAUGCUUGGUGUAGAGGUGAAAUUCGUAGAUAUCAAGCGGAACACCGGUGGCGAAGGCGGCCUUCUGGACAGUGACUGACGCUGAGACGCGAAAGCGUGGGGAGCAAACAGG
rnacentral:rRNA from 1 species